UGCUACCACCCCACCCUCCUGGGCAUCACUCACUGAACUGUGCAGGAUCUCAUCUGAUCUUGGAAGUUAAGCAGGGUCCGGCCUGGUUAGUAUUUGAAUGGGAGACUGCAUGGGAAUCCUGGGCACUGUAG
ensembl:rRNA 5S_rRNA 5S ribosomal RNA